AUGUACCAAGCUCUAAUCAAAGUCUUCACUACAUACUCGUCCUACUUCAUCUUAAAAAGAUGCCUCGUCGCAUGGGGUACUCCCCUGAUUGUUGUUGGAAUUACAAUGGGAAUAAACAAACUGGACAACUAUCAGACCAAGACUAAUUUUUGUUUCAUCUCUCAAGCAAACGCCAUCGCUUUCUAUGCGGCCUUGCUGGGGCCAGCCUGUGUCAUCCUUGUUAUAAACACCGUGGUAUUUACUCUCGUUGCACGCGUCAUCAUGAAACCCAGAUUUAAAGGAAGCAUUGGAAAGAACGAAAAAGAGAAGGUUUCCCCCGCGCAGGUCCGGGGAGCCUUCACUGUGAUGGUCCUCCUUGGGGUCACGUGGGUGUUUGGACCAGUCGCCAUCAAUGAAUCCAAAAUUGUAUUUAACUAUUUAUUCACCAUCCUAAACUCUUUACAAGGGUUUUUCAUUUUCGUCUUCCGGUGCCUUUUAAAUACGGAAGCUCGUUCUGCUUGGGUGCUUCUAAUUAAAACCGGAACGUUCAAACGAAGGCGUGGACCAAUCGUGUCACAGCACGAGUCCUGUUCCAAGGGGGCCAAUGAAUCCCGGGGACACAUGGGAGACAGCACGGUCCACACCGGAAGAACUACCAUCAAUAACAGUAACGAGAAUCUGCACGUGACCAAGAACGGGGGGAAGCUGGAGAAUGGCCUCCAGUGGAAACAUGGAAAAAGCGAGGGGAAGCUGGGACAUCGUAGUCCAGCUCUGGGCAACGGGAAGCGGCACAGUGACGAGUAUGAACUCAGGAAGGAGUUUGAUGACCUCACGAAACUCUGAUAGCCGAGAAAGGGAGAGCAAUGGAAUCUCGUGUCAAAUCUUGUCAUCGAUAUGUUCAAAGCUGCCAGGUAUAGGAAGAGCUGUAGGAAGAGGGGAGACGUUGAACAAUUUGUCUGAAAUUGCUAUUUAUUUAGUUUAACACAGACAUCUGUACUGCAAACCGUUUGCUUGUACAAUCCAAACUCUCGCUCGCUCUCUCUUUCUCUGCGAGAUCUUACUUUAAUAUGCGCAAUUUUCUGAAAGAGAAUUUCGGUUCCAGUAGUGCGGGAAUUCUACGGAGAUUCUCCGUGAAGUCUGCUUUGAGUUUACAACCAUUUUGUGGUUUUGAUUUCUCAUAUUUCUUCUUUCUCAAAGUAAUUAGAAAAUUACUCGUGUGUUCUUAUUUAUUUAUUUUUUUGAGUCAACCUAUAUGAAAAUGAUUAGUACAGAUAAAUAAACCUAUAAUUCAGGUAUUGAAUAACUUUCAAACGUAUAGCUAUGUUGUGUCAGUUUAUAGUUAAUUUAUACCAUAUUUUGACAAUCACAUUUAUAUUUUUAGUAUUGGAGCUGGCAUUAUAAGUAUUUGGGUUGGAGAAUGCAGGGUGUUUUUUUCCAUGCAGGUUUUUUGUUUGUUUGUUUUGACAGUUGAGACUGAAAUAAUAUAGCCUGGUGUUCCUUUUUUGUGUAUGGAAAACUUUUAACCAGGAAAGGUUUUACAAAUUUAAAUUUUAAUUAUUGUUCUUCAUGAAUGUUGAAAAACAUUGAUUUAUUGAGCAAAUUUAAAUAACGGUUGUUUGUUGGGUUUUUUUUCUUUGCAUAAUAAAUAUUUCGGUCUACAAGUACAUGUAUAAUGUUACUUGUUUGUCUGUUUCGUUUAGAGUGCGCAUAUAUAGUAACCAUGGUUAUUUGUGUAGUACGUGUACAAUUUUGUGUAAUUCUCAUCAUUACAUCAUCAUUUUGUCUCAUGUUUUUCCAAGAUAGAAAACCUGUGUGAAUACUUGUUUUAAAAUGUGUAUAGUCCAAAUGAAAAAAAUUAAAUGAUAACCUUGAUAUAAUAUGUGUGAUUUUAAUUUUCCUAAAUUUUAUAUAAUAGUACGUUGAAAAUUCUCUUAUUCAUAUCCUGUUUGCUUUAGAAAUUGACUUUGCCUACAUUUUAUUUUUUUUCCAUUAAUCGCAUGUACAAAAUGUAAAGCGUUGCAAUAAUUAAGUAAGGCUGGACCAACAUUAUUUCAAAUGUUCUGUGAUCUGUCAUCGUUUUCUGCAAUAAAAUCACAAUAAAUU
rnacentral:misc_RNA from 1 species